GCGAUGAUCUUCAUGAGUUCGAAGCGGCUGUUGUAGAGCUGGAUGUGAGUGGCGUUGUCGUCCUGCGUGUAGAUCUGACAGGUCCUCAGAGGGCGGCUGUUCUUGGACUGUACACAGACAGACAGAGUUAAAGAGACACAAAGACAGACAAACACAC